AGAUCAUUCCUAAAUGAAACCUUUCUCUUAUAUACGAUACCACCUCUCUCGUUAGUCUACUCAUGGUACUCGGUAAUACGCUCGUGAUAGAGUAUUCGUGCAAGAGCGCUUACAGCAGCUCGUAGCUAUUGUAUGCAUGGGAGUGAAGAGAUAUUGAUUGCACGAGCUAGCCAUCCAUAGUUGUCAGCUUCCCUUACCCCACAACCCUCACCUGUGCCCUCACUAAAAUUCAAUGAAAGGCAGACCCCAUAGAAGUAAGCCUGAGCCAGCUCAGUGAAGACUUCUAAAAUACCCUCCAGCCAGACCACAGAAACAUACAGAACAAAAAAUUCGCACUCAACCUACCCCAACACCUAUUCCCAUUACCACGCCUCCACAGAACCCUCAGAAACACGUACCAGCCACCAUCACUAUCCCUAAACCUUCACCUAUCGUUAUCUCAACCCCACCCUUUUCUAUAAGUAAGAGAAAGUAAGGCUUUCAAAGGUGCCUUGGGCAUAUGAAACCAGGACGGUAGCAGUGAAAGUGAAGAAGAAAGAGGGUGAAGAAUGAACACUCGAAAAAAAAAAGAAGAAAAGAAUAAUUGUUAAAGAAGGAUGGUUGGUGGGGUAGGGCGUACCUAAGCGAGCAAGGGAGCACGGCGCGAAGAAGCCCUCUCUCACAGCCCCCUACACCGCCCAAUAGCGGCCUACAGCGCAGGGCUGUACGCAGCAGUGAAUCAUUUUUCCGCCUUCGAGUUAGGGAAUGGGACUUUCUAUGGGUGUAUAUAAUGAGACUGACGUCGAGUGUUAAGUUUAUUUGAUUACCUGCCUUCCACUUCACUACUCCUUCAGUAGUCCUUAGGAAUUCCUAAGGCUCCGAGAAGAGGAGUUUACUUCCGACAGUACUCUAAUCUAAUCUUUUUCUCUUUUGGAGGUUUCAGGCCUAGCUUGACGCGGCAGUAGGGACUGCUUUCCGACCGUUUUCUUCCCGAAGUCAGACUACUACCGAGCUCCGCACCAGGGCUCAAACCAUGCCUCAAGGAAACAAUAGCCCCACAACCCAAAGGCUUUCCGAGA
rnacentral:misc_RNA from 1 species